rnacentral:rRNA from 1 species
UGGGGAAUAUUGGACAAUGGGGGCAACCCUGAUCCAGCCAUGCCGCGUGUGUGAAGAAGGCCUUAGGGUUGUAAAGCACUUUCACGGGUGAGGAUAAUGACGUUAACCCGAGAAGAAGCCCCGGCUAACUCCGUGCCAGCAGCCGCGGUAAUACGGAGGGGGCGAGCGUUGUUCGGAAUUACUGGGCGUAAAGCGCGCGUAGGCGGACUGUUUAGUCAGAGGUGAAAUCCCGGGGCUUAACCCCGGAACUGCCUUUGAUACUGGCAGUCUUGAGUUCGGGAGAGGUAAGUGGAAUUCCUAGUGUAGAGGUGAAAUUCGUAGAUAUUAGGAAGAACACCAGUGGCGAAGGCGGCUUACUGGACCGAUACUGACGCUGAGGUGCGAAAGCGUGGGGAGCGAACAGGAUUAGAUACCCCUGUAGUCC